UACGACUACAUAUCAGGCAUAUCAAUAAGCGGAGGAAAAGAAACUAACUAGGAUUCCCUCAGUAACGGCGAGUGAAGCGGGAAGAGCUCAAAUUUGAAAUCUUCAAGGUUUCUACCUUGACGAAUUGUAGUUUAAAGAAGUGUUUUCGGUUAGAUGGAGUAGGCAAAAGUUCUCUGGAAUAGGACAUCAUAGAGGGUGAGAAUCCCGUAUUUGACUAUUCUUUCUAGCUUUGUGAUACACUUUCAAAGAGUCGGAUUGUUUGGGAAUGCAGUCCAAAAUGGGUGGUAAAUUUCAUCUAAAGCUAAAGUAUUGGCGAGAGACCGAUAGCGAACAAGUACCGUGAGGGAAAGAUGAAAAGAACUUUGAAAAGAGAGUUAAACAGUACGUGAAAUUGUCAAAAGGGAAGCGUUUGACACCAGUGUUGUUUCUACGAAAAUCAAUUUAUGAUGGCUUGAUGCUAAGCUUUAAGACUUUAUCCGCUUAUUGUUUAGUUUUCUUGUCUUUGUGAAUGCACUUUUCGUGGAACAAGUCAACAUCAAUUUCUUUUGCUGUAAAAGGGUAAGAGGAAGGUGGCUUCGGCUUCGGUUGAAGUGUUUAUAGCCUUUUAUCUCUGCAGUCGGAGAGAUUGAGGUCUGCAGCGUAGACUCUUCGGGGUUAGAUACGUCGGUGCUAAGCUAUAGCUUUUCAUAGACAACUUGUUGACUAUGUUUAGUCAUGUGGCUUACCCGCUGGCGCUAUUUUACCUACGCUUAGGAUGUUGACACACGCGCGUGCUCG
rnacentral:rRNA from 1 species